GACGAACGCUGGCGGCGUGCUUAACACAUGCAAGUCGAACGGUGAAGCGAGUGCUUGCACUCGUGGAUCAGUGGCGAACGGGUGAGUAACACGUGAGUAACCUGCCCAUCACUCUGGGAUAAGCACUGGAAACGGUGUCUAAUACUGGAUACGACCAACCCUUGCAUGGGGUGUUGGUGGAAAGAUUUAUCGGUGAUGGAUGGACUCGCGGCCUAUCAGCUUGUUGGCGGGGUAAUGGCCCACCAAGGCGACGACGGGUAGCCGGCCUGAGAGGGUGACCGGCCACACUGGGACUGAGACAAGGCCCAGACUCCUACGGGAGGCAGAAGUGGGGAAUAUUGCACAAUGGGCGAAAGCCUGAUGCAGAGACGCCGCGUGAGGGAUGACGGCCUUCGGGUUGUAAACCUCUUUCAGCAGGGAAGAAGCGAAAGUGACGGUACCUGCAGAAGAAGCACCGGCUAACUACGUG
rnacentral:rRNA from 1 species